CCUACGGGGGGCAGCAGUGAGGAAUAUUGGUCAAUGGCCGAGAGGCUGAACCAGCCAAGUCGCGUGAGGGAAGACGGCCCUACGGGUUGUAAACCUCUUUUGUCGGGGAGCAAAGCGAGUCACGUGUGACUCCUUGAGCGUACCCGACGAAAAAGCAUCGGCUAACUCCGUGCCAGCAGCCGCGGUAAUACGGAGGAUGCGAGCGUUAUCCGGAUUUAUUGGGUUUAAAGGGAGCGUAGAUGGGUUGUUAAGUCAGUUGUGAAAGUUUGCGGCUCAACCGUAAAAUUGCAAUUGAUACUGGCAGCCUGGAGUACAGUUGAGGUAGGCGGAAUUCGUGGUGUAGCGGUGAAAUGCUUAGAUAUCACGAAGAACUCCGAUUGCGAAGGCAGCGUACCGGCGCCAGACUGACGCUGAGGCACGAAAGCGUGGGGAUCGAACAGGAUUAGAUACCCCGGUAGUC
rnacentral:rRNA from 1 species